rnacentral:rRNA from 1 species
UACGUAGGCAGCGAGCGUUGUUCGGAGUUACUGGGCAUAAAGGGUGUGUAGGCGGUUGUUUAAGUUUGGUGUGAAAUCUCCCGGCUCAACUGGGAGGGUGCGCCGAAUACUGAAUGACUAGAGUGCGGGAGGGGUGAGUGGAAUUCCUGGUGUAGCGGUGAAAUGCGUAGAUAUCAGGAGGAACACCGGUGGUGUAGACGGCUCACUGGACCGUAACUGACGCUGAGACACGAAAGCGUGGGUAGCAAACAGG